rnacentral:rRNA from 1 species
GACGAAGGAUGCAAGCGUUUAUCCGGAUUCAUUGGGUUUAAAGGGUGCGUAGGCGGACUUGUAAGUCAGUGGUGAAAUCUCUCAGCUUAACUGAGAAACUGCCAUUGAUACUGCAGGUCUAGAGUAUAGAUGACGUUGGCGGAAUAUGACAUGUAGUGGUGAAAUACUUAGAUAUGUCAUAGAACACCGAUUGCGAAGGCAGCUAACGAAACUAUAACUGACGCUGAGGCACGAAAGUGCGGGGAUCAAACAGG